UACAGAGGGUGCGAGCGUUGUUCGGAAUUAUUGGGCGUAAAGCGCGUGUAGGCGGCCAACUAAGUCGGGUGUGAAAGCCCUCAGCUCAACUGAGGAAGUGCGCCCGAGACUGGAUGGCUUGAGUGCUGGAGAGGGUGGCGGAAUUCCAGGUGUAGCGGUGAAAUGCGUAGAUAUCUGGAGGAACACCGGUGGCGAAGGCGACAUCCUGGACCGGUAUUGACGCUGAGGCGCGAAAGCCAGGGGAGCAAACGGG
rnacentral:rRNA from 1 species